AUACUUACCUGGCAGGGGAGAUGCCAUCAUCACAAAGGUGGUUUUCCCAGAGAGAGGCUUACCCAUUGCACUCCGGAUACGCUGACCCCUGUGAUUUCCCCAAAUGUGGGAAACUCAACUGCAUAAUUUGCAGUAGUGGGGGACUGCAUUCAUGCUCUCCUCUU
rnacentral:snRNA from 1 species